rnacentral:rRNA from 1 species
UACAGAGGGUGCGAGCGUUAAUCGGAGUUACUGGGCGUAAAGGGCGCGUAGGCGGUUUAGUGAGUGUGAUGUGAAAGCCCUGGGCUUAACCUAGGAAGCGCAUCGCAAACGACUAAACUGGAGUAUAAGAGAGGGUGGCGGAAUUUCCGGUGUAGCGGUGAAAUGCGUAGAGAUCGGAAGGAACGUCAAUGGCGAAGGCAGCCACCUGGCUUAAUACUGACGCUGAGGCGCGAAAGCGUGGGGAUCAAAC